rnacentral:rRNA from 1 species
UUCUACAGCUAUACCGCCCUGAACGUGCCCGAUCUCAUCUGAUCUCAGAAGCUAAGCAGGGUCGGGCCUGGUUAGUACUUGGAGGGCAGAAGACU